UUUCUUUUGACAACCUAUGUACCUAUAUAAGCACUGAGGCAUGGCAAUUGUUCCCUCAGCAACUCACGGAGAGCCUCGCGAAUCCGGCAAGAUGCUGCUGCCCAAUUCUCGCCGCUUCCUUGCUCGGCUUCUUGCCGUCCUCACGUUGCUACUGCUAACCUUCGUCGGUGGCCAUGCACGUGGUCUAGGUCGAAGCUGCGAUACUUUUCGUAAGUACACAUGCAAGUUUUCGUUUCAAUAUUCAUUUCUCAGCUUAUACUUAUCUGUUCCUGGUGAACAGUAAAUAUCUCUACUACUUCCUCAGUUCAUUUUUAUAGGACCUUGAAAACAUUUUAGAUAAUGUGCAAAACAGUUUAUUUUAAAUUGUUUAAAACGACUUACACAAGUGAACGGAGGGAGUAGUAAAAUAGGCAGAUUCUGGAAGCCCAAGGAUUCAACAGUAUAUGGAUAUGGAAAAUAUAAGAUUUCCGAUCCUAGCGGGAACAGGCGAGGAACAGAUAUCCAAUAGGAUAUAGGAUCCUUGGGAGGGAAAUAUUUAUUUCAAAAACUGAUUUUUUUUAAUCAAAGAUGUUUGAAUGCAUGAUGUCGUGGCAAAAUUUCAUUGUAUUUGGUCAUCUGAGAAGCUCGUGGCAAAAAAGACAAAAUCGGUCCGAGCAGCGUGCGAACAGUAAACUUUCUCACAAACCCUAAUUUUUUGGCUGUGAGCUACUCAGAUGUCCAAACACGAUGAAAUUUGGCAGCGACAUCACACAACUCAGACAUCUUUCACCACAAAAAAAUCCAGUUUUUUUCUUUUUAAUGAUUUUACUGUUCAAUCCGGGAGCCAAAACGCCGGUCCCUGUUUUCGUUUUUCUUUUAACUUGCAAUGCAUGUGUUGCCGUUUCAAAAGUUGCAUGUGUUGAGAACAUAACAUGCCCAUAGGUAUUGACUUUGUGCAGUUUUUCAGAUAGCGACUCCCGCAAAAAAAAAAAAGAAGAAGUUUUUCAGAUAUCGACAGUUUUUUCAGUUUAGAAUGCGGAGUAUACUCUAUUUCCAAAUGAUCUGAUAUGUGUUUUGACCAUCAUCGCAGAGAACCCAACCGGCUGCUCAAGUUUGCCCUCUCCAAACUGUCCUGAAUGUGGUCGACGGUAAGCGCCUUCCGUUUUCCUUGAUAAUGGGACGUGCGAAGAUUCUUCAGACCGCCCAAGUGAGGAUAGAGCAGGGCUCACUCCGAUCGGAGCAUAUGUGGACGGCCAUGGUUUACUAUGAUGAUUUGUACGUACAAAUGAAAUGUUGAUCGUUCUACAAAAAUUGUUUCUAUUUCUCGAUAAUAUGAUAAGAGAAUAUGAACUUAUGAAAGCCUUAAUUUUGAAUACACACGAGUGUGCGUACUAUCCCAUUGUUACAUUCUGAGCUGAAAUGAGG
rnacentral:lncRNA from 1 species